rnacentral:rRNA from 1 species
UGGGGAAUAUUGGACAAUGGGGGCAACCCUGAUCCAGCCAUGCCGCGUGAGUGAUGAAGGCCUUAGGGUUGUAAAGCUCUUUCGCCGGUGAAGAUAGUGACGGUAACCGGUAAAGAAGCCCCGGCUAACUUCGUGCCAGCAGCCGCGGUAAUACGAAGGGGGCUAGCGUUGUUCGGAAUUACUGGGCGUAAAGCGCGCGUAGGCGGACUAUUAAGUCAGGGGUGAAAUCCCGGGGCUCAACCUCGGAAUUGCCUUUGAUACUGGUAGUCUAGAGUCCGUGAGAGGUGAGUGGAACUCCGAGUGUAGAGGUGAAAUUCGUAGAUAUUCGGAAGAACACCAGUGGCGAAAGCGGCUCUCUGGUUCGAAUCUGACGCUGAGGCGCGAAAGCGUGGGGAGCAAAUGGGAUUAGAUACCCCUGUAGUCC